UGGGGAAUAUUGCACAAUGGGCGAAAGCCUGAUGCAGCAACGCCGCGUGAGUGAUGAAGGCCUUCGGGUUGUAAAGCUCUGUCUUUUGGGACGAUAAUGACGGUACCAAAGGGGGAAGCCACGGCUAACUACGUGCCAGCAGCCGCGGUAAUACGUAGGUGGCAAGCGUUGUCCGGAUUUACUGGGCGUAAAGGAUGCGUAGGCGGAUUUUUAAGUGAGAUGUGGAAACCCUAAGCUUAACUUGGGGGACUGCAUUUCAUACUGGAAAUCUAGAGUGCGGGAGAGGAGAAUGGAAUUCCUAGUGUAGCGGUGAAAUGCGUAGAGAUUAGGAAGAACACCAGUGGCGAAGGCGAUUCUCUGGACCGUAACUGACGCUGAGGCAUGAAAGCGUGGGUAGCAAACAGGAUUAGAUACCCUGGUAGUCCACGCCGUAAACGAUGAGUACUAGGUGUAGGAGGUAUCGACCCCUUCUGUGCCGCAGUUAACACAAUAAGUACUCCGCCUGGGAAGUACGAUCGCAAGAUUAAAACUCAAAUGAAUUGACGGGGUC
rnacentral:rRNA from 1 species